AUACGUAGGGUGCGAGCGUUGUCCGGAAUUACUGGGCGUAAAGAGCUCGUAGGUGGUUUGUCGCGUCGUCUGUGAAAUUCCGGGGCUUAACUCCGGGCGUGCAGGCGAUACGGGCAUAACUUGAGUACUGUAGGGGAGACUGGAAUUCCUGGUGUAGCGGUGAAAUGCGCAGAUAUCAGGAGGAACACCGGUGGCGAAGGCGGGUCUCUGGGCAGUAACUGACGCUGAGGAGCGAAAGCAUGGGUAGGGAACAGGAUUAGAUCCCCUGGUAGUCCAUGCCGUAAACGGUGGGCGCUAGGUGUAGGGGUCUUCCACGACUUCUGUGCCGUAGCUAACGCAUUAAGCGCCCCGCCUGGGGAGUACGGCCGCAAGGCUAAAACUCAAAGGAAUUGACGGGG
rnacentral:rRNA from 1 species